GCUGGCGGCAGGCCUAACACAUGCAAGUCGAGCGGUAGAGAGAAGCUUGCUUCUCUUGAGAGCGGCGGACGGGUGAGUAAAGCCUAGGAAUCUGCCUGGUAGUGGGGGAUAACGUUCGGAAACGGACGCUAAUACCGCAUACGUCCUACGGGAGAAAGCAGGGGACCUUCGGGCCUUGCGCUAUCAGAUGAGCCUAGGUCGGAUUAGCUAGUUGGUGAGGUAAUGGCUCACCAAGGCGACGAUCCGUAACUGGUCUGAGAGGAUGAUCAGUCACACUGGAACUGAGACACGGUCCAGACUCCUACGGGAGGCAGCAGUGGGGAAUAUUGGACAAUGGGCGAAAGCCUGAUCCAGCCAUGCCGCGUGUGUGAAGAAGGUCUUCGGAUUGUAAAGCACUUUAAGUUGGGAGGAAGGGCAUUAACCUAAUACGUUAGUGUUUUGACGUUACCGACAGAAUAAGCACCGGCUAACUCUGUGCCAGCAGCCGCGGUAAUACAGAGGGUGCAAGCGUUAAUCGGAAUUACUGGGCGUAAAGCGCGCGUAGGUGGUUUGUUAAGUUGGAUGUGAAAUCCCCGGGCUCAACCUGGGAACUGCAUUCGAAACUGACUGACUAGAGUAUGGUAGAGGGUGGUGGAAUUUCCUGUGUAGCGGUGAAAUGCAUAGAUAUAGGAAGGAACACCAGUGGGCGAAGGCGACCACCUGGGACUAAUACUGACACUGAGGUGCGAAAGCGUGGGGGAGCAAACAGGAUUAGAAUACCUGGUAGUCCACGCCGUAAACGAUGUUCAACUAGCCGUUGGGAGCCUUGAAGCUCUAGUGGCGCAGCUUACG
rnacentral:rRNA from 1 species